rnacentral:misc_RNA from 1 species
CUUUCUUUUAUGUUUAUGUUAUUUUUCUAUUAAAGAUUAUAUAAUCUGACUAUUCAAGUUUUUAAGAUGUAAUCGGUGGCUUCGUGCACCAAUAGAAUUUUUCAUUUAAUCUGAUUAGGUGAUUCUUUAUCAUAGGGACCGUCAAUUUGGUAGUCUUUACCCUUGUUUAUUUCAAGUGUACUGCAUCUAAACUCUCAACCUAGGCUGGUUAGGGAGAAGAUUAGCUCAAUACUUUAUAUGGGUAAUUCUAGGGUGCCUCUCUUAGCUUUCCCGGAAAAAAAGGUUUACUUCCCUGAUUAACCUUAUCUGCUCGAUACUAAUGAAAGGCUAUGUUUGCUUGUCCUUGUGGCAGAGUUUGGCGAUUUUGCACUUUGCAAUGUUUGUGUAACUGAACCUACCUAGUGAAAUUUCAUAUGAGUUUUGUAUGUUUGGAAAAUGAUUUACUUGCAUUUGUGGGCCACUGCAUCCUUGUGGCUCCCUUCCUUUUGG